AAGGAACCCUCAUGCACUGUUGGUAGGAAUGCAGACUGGUAUAGCCCCUCAGGAAAACAAAGUUUCCUCAAAGUUAAAGACAGAACUACUCUACGAUCCAGCAAUCACACUACUGGGUAUUUAUGUGCAGAAAAU